AGUGAACGCUGGCGGUAGGCCUAACACAUGCAAGUCGAACGGCAGCACAGUAAGAGCUUGCUCUUACGGGUGGCGAGUGGCGGACGGGUGAGGAAUACAUCGGAAUCUACUUUUUCGUGGGGGAUAACGUAGGGAAACUUACGCUAAUACCGCAUACGACCUACGGGUGAAAGCAGGGGAUCCUCGGACCUUGCGCGAUUGAAUGAGCCGAUGUCGGAUUAGCUAGUUGGCGGGGUAAAGGCCCACAAAGGCGACGAUCCGUAGCUGGUCUGAGAGGAUGAUCAGCCACACUGGAACUGAGACACGGUCCAGACUCCUACGGGAGGCAGCAGUGGGGAAUAUUGGACAAUGGGCGCAAGCCUGAUCCAGCCAUACCGCGUGGGUGAAGAAGGCCUUCGGGUUGUAAAGCCCUUUUGUUGGGAAAGAAAAGCAGCAGGUUAAUACCCCGCUGUUCUGACGGUACCCAAAGAAUAAGCACCGGCUAACUUCGUG
rnacentral:rRNA from 1 species